AUCCACCCAUCACCGAUAGUUCUCACUAAACCAUGUCCCUCAACACAACGUCCAAAUUUUCCUUGAACACCUCCAGUGUCGGUGACUCCACCACCUCCUCGGGCAGCCCAUUCCAGUGCCGUCGGGUCCAAACUCUUCCUUUGGGUCCAGAGAGCAGUAUGGCAUUGCUGCAGCUAAUUUUUGUCUUUGAAACCCACAAAACUGACUCACAAUCUAUCGGAACAAUUAGGACCGCUAGAACUAACAUGAUGAGCAGGAAGUGGCUGACGUUAAGGCACUAAGCUGACAGUGUGAAAGGGCAUUGUACUUCGGGCUGCAGAAAAUGCAUUCCUUCACUUGAGAUCAUUUAUCUUCUGCUGAAGUACCUCUUCUUGAUAAAUGGUGCUAGUGGGGGAGCCUGCUCAUGAUAUUUUUAAACUAGUUUGUCAGAGAAUUCAACCAGAAUGUUGUUUUGUCCUUCUCCUCCCCUGGGGAAGAUCCACACAAGGUUUAAAAACACUCUCUUGCUUUCAGAUAAUCUCUUGUCCUCUUUCGUAGGAAGAGGACGUAGAAACCUUUGUAUACGGCCUGGACCAGUGUAAGGGGAUUGCAAGGCAGCAGCAGUGAAGCACACAGGCAACUUACAAGCAUAAAUGAAAGGUGUAGGAUUCUGCACUUGCCCCUGUUGAACCUCAUCAGGUUCCUCUCUGUCCAACUCUCUAGACUGUCCAGGUCUCACUGAAUGGCAGCACAGCCCUCUGGUGUGUCAGCCACUCCUCCCUGCUACACACUGUCAAGAAGCUUACUGAAUUCUGUUCCUUCAUUCAGGUCAGUGAUGAAGAUGUUGAAGUAGGUUUUAACCCUAGAAAACUGCUGUAAGGAAAAUAAAGGAUUUAAGUACACUAUAUUAUAAGGCAGUAGUUGGGGCUUUUGUUGUGUUUUUUUUUUUUUUUUUUAAUUUUCAUUUUUUCUUCUGUUUGUCUGCUUUGACACAUGGAUGACUUCAGUUCAACAGCAACAUACACUGUG
rnacentral:lncRNA from 1 species